rnacentral:rRNA from 1 species
CGGUGGUACAGGUGGUGGCGAUGGUUGUCGUCAGCUCGUGUCGUGAGAUGUUGGGUUAAGUCCCGCAACGAGCGCAACCCCUACUUGUUAGUUGCCAUCAUUCAGUUGGGCACUCUAGCGAGACUGCCGGUAAUAAACCGGAGGAAGGUGGGGAUGACGUCAAAUCAUCAUGCCCCUUAUGUUCUGGGCUACACACGUGCUACAAUGGCCGGUACAGACGGACGCAAAGCCGCGAGGUGGAGCAAAUCCUAAAAAGCCGGUCUCAGUUCGGAUUGCAGGCUGCAAUUCGCCUGCAUGAAGUCGGAAUCGCUAGUAAUCGCAGGUCAGCAUACUGCGGUGAAUACGUUCCCGGGCCUU